rnacentral:rRNA from 1 species
UACGGAGGGAGCUAGCGUUGUUCGGAAUUACUGGGCGUAAAGCGCACGUAGGCGGUAUUUCAAGUCAGAGGUGAAAGCCCGGGGCUCAACCCCGGAAUAGCCUUUGAAACUGGAAGACUAGAAUCACGGAGAGGUGGGUGGAAUUCCGAGUGUAGAGGUGAAAUUCGUAGAUAUUCGGAAGAACACCAGUGGCGAAGGCGGCCCACUGGACGUGUAUUGACGCUGAGGUGCGAAAGCGUGGGGAGCAAACAGG